UACGUAGGGGGCAAGCGUUAUCCGGAUUUACUGGGUGUAAAGGGAGCGUAGACGGCUUUGCAAGCCAGAUGUGAAAGCCCGGGGCUCAACCUCGGGACUGCAUUUGGAACUGUAUGGCUGGAGUGUCGGAGAGGCAGGCGGAAUUCCUAGUGUAGCGGUGAAAUGCGUAGAUAUUAGGAGGAACACCAGUGGCGAAGGCGGCCUGCUGGACGAUGACUGACGUUGAGGCUCGAAAGCGUGGGUAGCAAACAGG
rnacentral:rRNA from 1 species